rnacentral:rRNA from 1 species
CCUACGGGGGGCUGCAGUGAGGAAUAUUGGUCAAUGGGCGCAAGCCUGAACCAGCCAUCCCGCGUGAAGGAAGAAUGCCCUAUGGGUUGUAAACUUCUUUUCCGGAGGAAUAAAAUCCCGAACGAGUUUGGGACUGAAGGUACUCCGGGAAUAAGCAUCGGCUAACUCCGUGCCAGCAGCCGCGGUAAUACGGAGGAUGCGGGCGUUAUCCGGAUUUAUUGGGGUUAAAGGGUGCGUAGGCGGAUUAAUAGAAAACCUGCAGCUUAACUGUAGGCUUGCCAUUGAUACUGUUAGUCUUGAGUACGGUCAAGGUAGGCGGAAUGUGUAAUGUAGCGGUGAAAUGCUUAGAUAUUACACAGAACACCGAUUGCGAAGGCAGCUUACUGGGCCGUAACUGACGCUGAUGCACGAAAGCGUGGGGAGCGAACAGGAUUAGAUACCCUAGUAGUC